AUGUGCAAUCUCUACCUUCCAUUUUGUGUGGAGGAGUGAAAGAAAAACCCAAGCAGCAAAGAAAGUCAACAGUGGAAAGUCCAUGCAAUCGAUCGUAAUUGAACCAAACAAGCCACAUUCCAGCUCCAGCAAGCAGCAGAUCGAGGCGGCUUUUGACAGGUAUGUGCCUGAGCGAGCAAGUGUCCUUGGAGGCCAGAGGCUUCGGAUCCCUGG
rnacentral:lncRNA from 1 species